rnacentral:tRNA from 1 species
CAGGGAGACAACAAAAUGUUUAAUAUUAAUUUUGUCACCUUAGGUCGAUCGGUAUCUCACGUUCUUAAAUUUAUUAAGAAUUUCAUUUCCUAAGUUUUUUCUAGGUCACACCCAUUAUUUUCCUGGACCAUUAGCUCAGGUGGUUAGAGCGCACCCCUGAUAAGGGUGAGGUCCCUGGUUCAAGUCCAGGAUGGCCCAUAUCUCUAUGUUGGGGGUAUAGCUCAGUUGGUAGAGCGCCUGCUUUGCAAGCAGGAUGUCAGCGGUUCGAGUCCGCUUACCUCCACUGAUUACCACCUCUUUCAUAAUUUAUUGAAAGGAAAUUUUUUGAGUUGUGAUCCAAUUCUGAACGAAUCUAGCUUCCUAAUGAAUUUUUAAUUUAAAUCAUUAAGAUGCUGGAAUCAUUGAAUUAAUUUCAUUGUUUUCAGAGAACCUUGACAACUGCAUAGAUUUUUUUAAAGACAAAAAGCAUCUUGAAUGAUGCAGAUUUAUUAUUUGUGCGAAUGCAUUAAUAACAAUUCUAUUAAGCUGAUGCUUCAA